CACUAAGAAGCUAAAUCGGGAAUAGCGUUAGCCUUUUAAGCUAAAGAUUGGUGGCCCCCA
rnacentral:tRNA from 1 species